rnacentral:piRNA from 1 species
UAGUUGCAAGUUCUCGAAAAC